UCCAGCCACAGUUUGGACGGUGAUGAGCGUGACUAACAGCAGCAGCAGCAGCGGCGCAGCCCUCAUCCUGUACAAACACACAGCAGUGGGACAAAUCAACAUUACAAAGGUUCACAUUCAUCACGACUGGAGAGGUGGAGGGGCCCAGGGGCCCAUUGUAUCCUAAUCCGCCCAUGGCAAAGACAGGUGGCUUAAACCUCCAGAAAUAUCAGUAACACACAGUGCGAGCGGAGCUGGUGGAGCAUGAUGGAGUGGAAGUUUCACACACCAACCAGGCUGCAAUUAUGCACUGCUGCACUAAUAACCUGUCCAGGGACUGGAGUUGAAAAGCACCGCAGCAGCAUCCCACGAGGAAACCAUUCCAAGCCUUUUCCAGGAUCAUAUGAAGCAGCAGCAGGGGAAUGAAAAAAAAUAUUUAUGGCAAUAAAGACUUUGGUCAACCAGAGCCUCAUUUAUGUAUCAUCAGAUGCUAAAGAGACGGGUUUUUAAAAUGAUGUUGAGUUAAAUGUGACAUGAUGAGACAAAAUGAGAGGUUUUCCCUUUGAGUUUGUGCAUUCUGCUGUUAAUUUAUUCAAAUUAAAUUAUUAAAACAUAUUUGUAAAUGACACUGAAGAUCAGCUGAACCAUGUCUCUGAAGUCCACAUAUUUACAUUCACAAGUAAAACCCAGCACAGUUUAGAUUA